UACGAAGGGGGCUAGCGUUGUUCGGAUUUACUGGGCGUAAAGCGCACGUAGGCGGGUUGUUAAGUCAAGGGUGAAAUCCUGGAGCUCAACUCCAGAACUGCCUUUGAUACUGGCAACCUAGAGGCUGGAAGAGGUUAGUGGAAUUCCCAGUGUAGAGGUGAAAUUCGUAGAUAUUGGGAAGAACACCAGUGGCGAAGGCGGCUCUCUGGGACGGUACUGACGCUGAGACGCGAAAGCGUGGGGAGCAAACAGG
rnacentral:rRNA from 1 species